rnacentral:rRNA from 1 species
AUUGAACGCUGGCGGCAGGCCUAACACAUGCAAGUCGAGCGGAUGAAGGGAGCUUGCUCCUGGUUUCAGCGGCGGACGGGUGAGUAAUGCCUAGGAAUCUGCCUGGUAGUGGGGGAUAACGUCCGGAAACGGGCGCUAAUACCGCAUACGUGCUGAGGGAGAAAGUGGGGGAUCUUCGGACCUUACGCUAUCAGAUGAGCCUAGGUGGGAUUAGCUAGUUGGUGGGGUAAAGGCCUACCAAGGCGACGAUCCGUAACUGGUCUGAGAGGAUGAUCAGUCACACUGGAACUGAGACACGGUCCAGACUCCUACGGGAGGCAGCAGUGGGGAAUAUUGGACAAUGGGCGAAAGCCUGAUCCAGCCAUGCCGCGUGUGUGAAGAAGGUCUUCGGAUUGUAAAGCACUUUAAGUGGGGAGGAAGAGCAGUAAGUUAAUACCUUGCUGUUUUGACGGUACCAACAGAAUAAGCACCGGCUAACUUCGUG